GAUGAACGCUGGCGGCGUGCCUAAUACAUGCAAGUCGAGCGAACAGACGAGGAGCUUGCUCCUCUGACGUUAGCGGCGGACGGGUGAGUAACAAGUGGAUAACCUACCUAUAAGACUUGGAUAACUUCGAGAAACCGGAGCAACUACCGGAUAAGCUAUUGAACCGCAUGGUUCAGUAGUGAAAGACGGUUUUGCUGUCACUUCUAGAUGGAUCCGCGCCGCAUUAGCUAGUUGGUAAGGUAACGGCUUACCAAGGCGACGAUGCGUAGCCGACCUGAGAGGGUGGUCGGCCACACUGGAACUGAGACACGGUCCAUGCUCCUACGGGAGGCAGCAGUAGGGAAUCUUCCGCAAUGGGCGAAAGCCUGACGGAGCAACGCCGCGUGAGUGAUGAAGGUCUUCGGAUCGUAAAACUCUGUUAUUAGGGAAGAACAAAUGUGUAAGUAACUAUGCACGUCUUGACGGUACCUAAUCAGAAAGCCACGGCUAACUACGUG
rnacentral:rRNA from 1 species